rnacentral:lncRNA from 1 species
UGUGUCACUACUCACAGAAACACAUGCUCCAAGGUGGUAGUAUGAACAAGGCGCGAGUUCCCGCAUCUUCCAAGCUCAACACUGCACUAAACUCUCAAACAAAACAAAGAAAACAAAGGAACAAAAAGAAACAAAAAGAACGAAAACAAAACAAAGAAGAAAAAUAGUUGGGUUACCUCCCAACAAGUGCUUAAUUUAACGUCUAGAGCUCGACGAUACCUCAUGUUCUCAAUGAACAUCAAACACAGCGGGCGUGACAGAACGCUUAACACGGACAGAGGUAGAAGACCCAUGCGCAUCAGCUGCGUGAAAGACGACGCUUCCAUUGGGCACAUCUAUCAUAGCCCUCCCCGUAGCUAAGAAUGAUCGACCAAGAAUCAACGGCUGAUUUUGUAACACCCCGUACUUUUCCUCAUGUUGUGAGAUAGUGUCUUAACACUAUUGAGAGUACUGAGUUGUCGAGAUGCGAGACUUUUUUUUUGUGACCAGAUAAGACAGUUUGUCUUUUAAAUAGAGAUACGAGUGAAUAAACCGAUGAUGGAGUUAGAGUGAUGAGAUUCGAGAAAUGAGUUGAGCUAGAGAUGCUGAUUGAAUUGAGAUGAGAUUUUAUUUUAUUUCCGACUACCGGGAAUAGAUUUACCAGAUACCGAGUUAUCAGAGAUUGACUGUCCUAUUAAGAAAAUAGGAAUAAUGAGUCUGACAUAGAGUCGAGGAAGAAAGAGUGAGAACUUUGAUGAAAAGAGUCGGUCAGAGAGACGUCUAGUU